GACAGAGGAUGCAAGCGUUAUCCGGAAUGAUUGGGCGUAAAGCGUCUGUAGGUGGCUUUUCAAGUCCGCCGUCAAAUCCCAGGGCUCAACCCUGGACAGGCGGUGGAAACUACCAAGCUGGAGUACGGUAGGGGCAGAGGGAAUUUCCGGUGGAGCGGUGAAAUGCGUAGAUAUUGGAAAGAACACCGAUGGCGAAGGCACUCUACUGGGCUAUUACUGACACUCAGAGACGAAAGCUAGGGGAGCAAAUGGG
rnacentral:rRNA from 1 species